rnacentral:rRNA from 1 species
ACGCACGCUGGCGGCGUGCUUAACACAUGCCAGUCGAACGGAAAGGCCCUGCUUUUGUGGGGUGCUCGAGUGGCGAACGGGUGAGUAACACGUGAGUAACCUGCCCUUGACUUUGGGAUAACUUCAGGAAACUGGGGCUAAUACCGGAUAGGAGCUCCUGCUGCAUGGUGGGGGUUGGAAAGUUUCGGCGGUUGGGGAUGGACUCGCGGCUUAUCAGCUUGUUGGUGGGGUAGUGGCUUACCAAGGCUUUGACGGGUAGCCGGCCUGAGAGGGUGACCGGCCACAUUGGGACUGAGAUACGGCCCAGACUCCUACGGGAGGCAGCAGUGGGUAAUAUUGCACAAUGGGCGGAAGCCUGAUGCAGCAACGCCGCGUGCGGGAUGACGGCCUUCGGGUUGUAAACCGCUUUCGCCUGUGACGAAGCGUGAGUGACGGUAAUGGGUAAAGAAGCACCGGCUAACUACGUG